rnacentral:rRNA from 1 species
GCCUAACACAUGCAAGUCGGGCGGUAACACAGGGAGCUUGCUCCUGGGUGACGAGCGGCGGACGGGUGAGUAAUGUCUGGGAAACUGCCUGAUGGAGGGGGAUAACUACUGGAAACGGUAGCUAAUACCGCAUAACGUCUUCGGACCAAAGUGGGGGACCUUCGGGCCUCAUGCCAUCAGAUGUGCCCAGAUGGGAUUAGCUAGUAGGUGGGGUAACGGCUCACCUAGGCGACGAUCCCUAGCUGGUCUGAGAGGAUGACCAGCCACACUGGAACUGAGACACGGUCCAGACUCCUACGGGAGGCAGCAGUGGGGAAUAUUGCACAAUGGGCGCAAGCCUGAUGCAGCCAUGCCGCGUGUAUGAAGAAGGCCUUCGGGUUGUAAAGUACUUUCAGCGAGGAGGAAGGCAUCAAGGUUAAUAACCUUGGUGAUUGACGUUACUCGCAGAAGAAGCACCGGCUAACUCCGUGCCAGCAGCCGCGGUAAUACGGAGGGUGCAAGCGUUAAUCGGAAUUACUGGGCGUAAAGCGCACGCAGGCGGUCUGUCAAGUCGGAUGUGAAAUCCCCGGGCUCAACCUGGGAACUGCAUUCGAAACUGGCAGGCUAGAGUCUUGUAGAGGGGGGUAGAAUUCCAGGUGUAGCGGUGAAAUGCGUAGAGAUCUGGAGGAAUACCGGUGGCGAAGGCGGCCCCCUGGACAAAGACUGACGCUCAGGUGCGAAAGCGUGGGGAGCAAACAGGAUUAGAUACCCUGGUAGUCCACGCCGUAAACGAUGUCGACUUGGAGGUUGUGCCCUUGAGGCGUGGCUUCCGGAGCUAACGCGUUAAGUCGACCGCCUGGGGAGUACGGCCGCAAGGUUAAAACUCAAAUGAAUUG